rnacentral:rRNA from 1 species
UGGGGAAUAUUGGGCAAUGGGCGCAAGCCUGACCCAGCAAUGCCGCGUGUGUGAAGAAGGCCUGCGGGUUGUAAAGCACUUUGAGCGGGGAGGAAUGCCUUGGGGUUAACACCCCCGGGGUUUGACGUUACCCGCAGAACAAGCACCGGCUAACUCCGUGCCAGCAGCCGCGGUAAUACGGAGGGUGCGAGCGUUAAUCGGAAUUACUGGGCGUAAAGCGUGCGUAGGCGGCGCGGUCAGUCUCGCGUGAAAGCCCCGGGCUCAACCUGGGAACUGCGCGGGAAACUGCCGUGCUAGAGUGCGGGAGAGGGCGGUGGAAUUUCCGGUGUAGCAGUGAAAUGCGUAGAGAUCGGAAGGAACACCAGUGGCGAAGGCGGCCGCCUGGACCGACACUGACGCUGAGGCACGAAAGCGUGGGGAGCAAACA